UCAGAAAAUUCAAUUUUCAUGACCAACUGGGAGAAGUGAACGAGAGAUGAGCGGGAAAUACUCAGAAGAAGGCAACACCUGGAAAGUCGCGAUGGAUCAGCAGGAAUGGAGUAACAGAGGAACGAUUGCAGCAUUGAUAUCGCGACGAAGGAAGUCCAUACCUAACACCCAACGUAAGAUAUUCUAUCUGACUGGACAAGUUUAAGUAUGUGAACGUGAUAAGCAGAACUGUGAUGGAAACUUGAGGAACGAGAGGAUGACCAAUGAGGCGAAGGCGAAGGACAACAUGCUCUCAAGCGUAUCAUACAACAUGAAUGAAUUAUUAUUUCAGGAGUACAUUGGUUACGAUAAAUUAAUCAGGAAAAUUGCGUCGAGGAUAAAAUACUACCAACUUUGUUAAGAAGAAUUGUCUCCAAAGAUAUACAUAUUUCAUUUCAUUUUAUAACCAAUAUCAUUUUAUAAAUUCAUGAAUAAUAAUAACCAACGCUAACCGUUUGUAUCUUCAAUUAAAGAUAUCAAACAGCUAAUUAACGAAGGGGAUAUUGAACCAACCAUAGCCUAAUUGAUUAAUUAAUCAUUCAUUAUUCAUUAGUUAUUUGCUUUCAUUAACUGAUCAUUUGCAUCAUCAUGAGCAAGACUCAAGCUAGGAUGGUAGCUACCUACAUACGGUACAUUUAAAUUAUUGCAUCAUCAUAUGUGACAUGCGCGAAAGCGAAAUAAACAAAUCAUACGCGGUAGUUGGUCAGCGGGUGACCUAGUUUGCUUCAGCAGGUCUCUACCUGUUCUAGUUGGCAUACGGUAAGCCAAAAAGAAUGCAUAACUACCGGAGUAUAACAUAAUAAAACAUGUGACUCAUAUAAGGAAGCAUUCUAGCCGCUUCCAAUUAGAUACUAAGUAAGAGACGCGAGCUUUCUCUCUCGCGCUUUUCGAAGUACUAGAAUGUUGGUACUUUAGUAAAGAGAGCGAGAGCGGAGAAUGUGACGCUAGGCGCUUAAGUUAAGUUAAGUGGGGGGAGAAAAAAAUAACCAAAAAAUUGUAAUUAUAUAUAAGGUUUAAAAUUUGAAUAAAAUGAUGAGUUGUAGUUUUAACAGGGAA